rnacentral:lncRNA from 1 species
GAAUUAAUUAAAGCCAUUUUACUUCUCUUGUCCAGAAUAAGCAUUGAAAAGGACAGCUUGUCAUUAGUUGUUUAAACCCCCUUCAUCAUUUUGAAGACAGUAAUGAAAUGUCCAGUCAGCCCCUUUUCUCUAACUUAAAGUUCUUUUAGCUUUCCCUCAAGGACCUAUUCCUUUUCAAUUUUUAGAUGCUGUUCGGAAAGACCAGGAGCCCUCUCUGAACCGCUUCAUUACAUCUGUACCUCAAACCUAAUGAAGAGGAAUGCUGAUCCAGUUGGUGGGACUCACAUGGACUGAACUUUAAGAAUCAUAUUCAUUGAAAUUUGAGCAAAUUACCAGUAGAUGAUGGCCUUGCGACUUUUCCACAGGUAGGACUUUUAGACUAGCUUCAUUUUUUUAAGAUGAUAAACUUUAUGCUGCCAAAUACUGAAUAACUGUACAUUGAGUGAUUAUAAAAUUA